UACGUAGGGUGCGAGCGUUAAUCGGAAUUACUGGGCGUAAAGUGUGCGCAGGCGGCCGAGCAAGUCGAGUGUGAAAGCCCCGGGCUUAACUUGGGAAUUGCGCUCGAAACUACUUUGCUGGAGUGUGGCAGAGGAAGGUGGAAUUCCACGUGUAGCGGUGAAAUGCGUAGAGAUGUGGAGGAACACCAAUGGCGAAGGCAGCCUUCUGGGCCAACACUGACGCUCAUGCACGAAAGCCAGGGGAGCGAACGGG
rnacentral:rRNA from 1 species